CCUACGGGCGGCUGCAGUGGGGAACAUUGGACAAUGGGCGAAAGCCUGAUCCAGCCAUGCCGCGUGUGUGAAGAAGGCCUUCGGGUUGUAAAGCACUUUCAGUGGGGAAGAAAGCCUUGGGGCUAAUACCCUCGAGGAAGGACAUCACCCACAGAAGAAGCACCGGCUAACUCCGUGCCAGCAGCCGCGGUAAUACGGAGGGUGCGAGCGUUAAUCGGAAUUACUGGGCGUAAAGCGCGCGUAGGCGGUCUGAUAAGCCGGUUGUGAAAGCCCCGGGCUCAACCUGGGAACGGCAUCCGGAACUGUCAGGCUAGAGUGCAGGAGGGGAAGGUAGAAUUCCCGGUGUAGCGGUGAAAUGCGUAGAGAUCGGGAGGAAUACCAGUGGCGAAGGCGGCCUUCUGGACUGACACUGACGCUGAGGUGCGAAAGCGUGGGUAGCAAACAGGAUUAGAUACCCUUGUAGUC
rnacentral:rRNA from 1 species